AUCACUCCACUGUAAUAAUGUUGCUCUGCCAGCCCAAUACACAAGAGGGGGACUAUAUAAGAAUCAAUGGAGCUGUCACUACCACGAACUACCCCGCGAUCUGGCAUAUAGGGUACAAUCGCAGAUAAAUACGGUAUAAGCACCACGCCUACACAAUAUCUAUUGUUUACCCAUGGAUCCGAUGGAUAAACGCUAUAUGAUUCUAAACAUGUAUAUAGAUCCAAUCUAACUAAGCCAAGUAUAUAACUAUGAUAAACUAAGAACAAUAUAAUUGCGAAUAUAAACAAGUCGAGCAAAGUCAUAAUCAAUAUAUUGAAGUAGAACAAAGUCAUAUUCAUAAUAUCGAAG
rnacentral:lncRNA from 1 species